UUUUUUUUUUUUUUUUUUUUUUUUUUUGUCUUUUUGCUAUUUCUUGGGCCGCUACCACGGCAUAUGGAGGUUCCCAGGCUAGGGGUUGAAUCGGAGCUGUAGCCACUGUCCUACACCAGAGCCACAGCAACGCGGGAUUCGAGCUGCGUCUGCAAUCUACACCACAGCUCACAGCAACGCCGGAUCCUUAACCCACUGAGCAAGGCCAGGGACCAAACCCGCAACCUCAUGGUUCCUAGUCGGAUUCGUUAACCACUGUGCCACAACGGGAACUCCUGUUUUAUUUAUUUGUAUAUAGUUAGAUUCUUUUGUCCCAUUUUAUAUUUCAUCUUAGGAUCCCUGAGGUUUUAAAAAUUUGUAUAUGUUAAGGUCCAGUCUUUCUGUUGUAAAAUUCUGUAUGUGUUGGCAAAUGUUUAACAUCUUUUAUUCCUACCAUUACAGUAUCAAAUAGUUUCACUGCCUAAAAAAGCCCCUGUGCUUCACCUUCCCCCAACUCCCUGUUCCUCCAGAUUCCUGCAAACUACUGAUCUUUUUCUGACUUUAUUCUUUUGCUUUGUCCCAGAAUGUCAUAUAACUGCACUCACACAGGAUGUGGCAUUUUCAGUCAGCUUCUAUAACUGGGCAAUGUGCAUUUAAGAUUCAUCGAUGUCUUUUCAUGGUCUAAUUAUCUUUUUUCUUUUUAUCACCAAAUAAUAUUCCAUUAUAUGGAUGUUUAUCCAUUCACCUACUGAAGGACAUCUUGCCUGCUCAGAGUUUGGGGAGAUUAUGAAUAAAACUGCUAUAAAUGUCUGUAUACAGGUUUGGUGGCUCUAAGUUUUCAAAUUAGUUGGGUCAAUACCUAGGAAGCAUGCUUGCUUGGAUAGUCACAUUUAGUUUUGUAAAAAACUGUCAAACCUGUCUUCCAAAGUGGCUGCAUCACUUUGCAUUUCCACCAGCAAUGAAUGAAAUUUCCUAUUACUCCACAUCCUCACCAUAAUCUGAUUCUGUCAAUGUUUUGGAUUUUAGCCAUUCUAAUAAGUAUGUAAUGGAAUUUCACUAUUGCUUUAAUUUGCAAUUCUCUAAUGACAUGAUGCUGAACGUCUUUUUACAUGCAUAUUUGCCAUUGUAUAUCUUCUUUAAUAUCUUCAAAAUUUUUGCCCAUUUUCAAAUUGAGUUAUUUUAUUACUGCUGAGUUUUAAGACUUUUUAAAUAUAUUUUGGAUAAAUUCUUUAUCGGAUGUAUUUUGCGAAUAUUUUCUCCCCAUCUAUGGCUUGUCUGUUCAUUCUAUUAAUAACCUGUGGCAUAUGGAAGUCCCUGGGCCAGGAACUGAAUCCCAACUGCAGCUAUGAUGGCAACACCAGAUCCUUUACCCCACUGUGCUGGGCUAGAGAUUGAACCUAUGCCUCCAAAGCAACCUGAGCCACUGCAGUCAGAUUCUUAACUUACUGUGCCACAGUGAGAACUCUAGAAACUGAUAAUUAAUAUAGAGUUUUCUUGAAAUUAAUCAUGACUGAUAGGGCAAAAUAAAAUGGAAAAUGGAAGGAUUUAGAGCUGUGUAAUACCUGAGGAUGGUAAGAAUUUUACAACAUGAAAGGGACUUACAAAAUACACUGAAGGUUAUUCUCACUAGCUAAGAUAUAUUCUAUAAUAAUAGAUGAGCAAAGACAUAUGAUACCACCUGCUUUGCUCUAACUGUAACUGCAGAUAACAUGUGCAUUUUUGUUCAGCCAUUUUCUCUUUCUGGUCCUGACUUACUUUUGAGUAUUUUUAAGAAAAGUGAAGGAGAAGGAAUAACUAGUUAGGAAGAGUUUAAAGGAGUAAGUAAUGGAAUUAAUAAGACCUCUUAUAUGCUGUAAACCCUCCCUUGGACUUAACUUCGGAAAUUCUAAGGACAUCUUUUAUCCUUUCGCUCUUAUAUCCUUUGCAUUUUUUUCCUAGGAAUUAUUUGGCUCUAUUUGAACACACUCUAUCUCCUGGGUAAGGCAACUAGAAGAAAGCUGAUAGUAGACACCAAAUACUUUCUUAUGCCAUUCGGAACUGAAGUGUAUUUCCAGAUCCAGAAAAAGAACAGUGAUUUAAAAUCCCAGGAAAUGGCUGUGUGAUAGAAUUUGGCAUUUACAUUUUGAACUGCUUAAUCAUUCUUUUAUAGACUAGCUGAAGGUUAUUUUGUCUCUCUGGCAUUUUCUUAUGUCUCAGCUGCCUUACUCUGUCAUCCAGGGCUCAGUUUCAAGGGUGAAAUGCAUUAUGAUAAUCACAAUCAACCAAAGGCAUCCCAGUUCCAACUCUCUAUAACUUCAUGCUUUUCUCAUCAAUUUCACUUCAGUUAAAAGGCCAGUUAAAAGAAGAAUGUAUGAAUAAAUCUGAGCUUACAAGUUCUAUUGCCACUAUUACCUCAUACGAUAAGACUUUUUAUUCAAUUCGCUACCUUCACACUAUAUUAUACAUUAUAAAGAUGGCAUGUGCAUAAACAUCUUCAGAAAUUAAGUGACUCCAGUUUAGAAAGAUGAACUUUCUGAAGUAAAGGUUCUACAUGCUUUAGAUAAAUAAAUUAUUGUCCAUUUUCCACCAUGAAUAUUUCCAUUACUUCACAUUCCUUUAAUCACUGCUCUCCCAAAGCCAAUGAAGAGAAACAAUAAAGAGAAAUAUAAAUUAUUUUCAAGUAUUAAACCACUACAAGCCUUCAAGCAUUUUUUUCUUUCUUUCCUUUUUUUGGGGGGAAUGUACCCCUCCAAAAAAAUGUUCCCAGGCCAGGGAUUGAAUCCAAGCUGCAGCUGUGACCUAUACCACAUCUGCAGCAAUGUUGGAUCCUUAACCCAAUGUGCAAAGCCAGGGAUCAAACUCGUGCCUCUGCAGUGACACAAGCUGCUGUGGUCGAAUCCAUAACCCUCUGCACCACGGGAACUCCUUCAUGUAUUUUUCAACCAGAGCUUCAGGAUGGAAACCAUGACUACAUGCCAAGCCAAAUCCCAAGUCUGAGGCUUACAAUAUCUGACAUUAAGCUCAUGACAGCUUCUUUGGGCCCUGGCUUCUUUGUGUGAAAUAUGAGGGAAUUGGACAUGGUAACUAGCAGAUUUUCUUAAAACAUCAACAAUCCAAACUUCUUAACUUCUAUUGCUGACAAUUUCACAAAGAAUGUAGGGUCCUUUUAAAGGCAUUACUGGAAUAAAAGAUCUACAGAAUCACAGUAGAUCAAAAGGAAGAGUAGUAUAAGCAAUUGAUAGACAUAAACAUUUGAGUUAAUAAAAUAUUAGAAUCCUAACAAAACCCUUCCCUUAGAUUCUGUACUAACAGGUUUUUGGUGUAAUUGUUGUCUUGGCUCAAAUGACAAUUUUUCUAUAAAACCUCUCCUACUUCAGGAAGUCUUAUGCUAACUAUCUCUCUAGGUUCUCACUGCAUGUGAUUUCCCCUCUCAAAGCAUUUUAACCAGACUAUGAACUCCUUCCUCACUCCUCCUUGUAAGCUUAUCUUACCGAUGUCCAUUGGACUGUGUACUUUAGCUUUUGCAUGUACUUUCCCAUCUCAAAAGAAAGGGGAUAAUUUCGAAAGGUCUAGCACACAGCCACAAAAUACU
ensembl:lncRNA